ACAACGUGAUGAUGCUUGAGAAUGGUUUCGCUUUUUUCACUGAUAUCUUGUGAUGCCACACUUCUCUUGGCUGUCUGAUUCG